rnacentral:misc_RNA from 1 species
AACGCACAUUGCGCCCAUUGGUUCCGCCUGUGGGCAUGCCUGUUUGAGUGUCGUUUUCACCAUCUCAAACAAAACCUCUCUUUUGAUUGGUUUGCUAGUUUGGAGAAUGGGCUUCCUGCUCCGUUUCGGAAUAGGUUGCUCCAAGUGAAAGCGGGCUUCAUGAGCAUGUGGAAACAAAGCUCCUCUCCACGCACGCAAGUGUCUUCCAACACUUGUGCGUAUGGAUCGUGAAGGACGUAUCCUUCCCAUCUUCGCACAUAGUGAAAGGAUUAAGUGGUUUGGGAGAGAUUCCACGAAAAAGUGUUCAUGUCUACCUAUCGGUGUAAAAUGCUUAGGACAUAUAUAGUUCUUUCCAAAAUCACCGACCUCAAAUCAGGCAAGAUUACCCGCUGAAUUUAA